GCUUUAGUUCUUUGUUUUGCAAGUUAAAAUCGGUAUCAAAAUCCAUUCAAUGAUGACAUGUAGUAGUGUCCCGUGAUUUUACGACUUCACAGCCACUUGAUCAACCUUACACUUCUGGACGAAAACCAUGCAUUGGGACAAUACUUAGCAGGGGAUGCAACACAAAAUGCAACUUUAAAGAAACUAAUAAACUUAAUUUAAAAAUCGGA